AUGUACUUCUGUGGAAAAGGAGAUGAAAAAACCAUUACAUUUUCUAAUGGUACAUUCUUAGCAGUGAGAGGUAAACCCCAGUUUAACAUAUCAGUGCUCCAAACUCCAGCAUGGGGGUCAGUUUCUCCAGGAGAGUCGGUCACUCUGCAGUGCACGGUCCUCUCUGAGAUCAGAGCAGCAGAUCUCCGAGUGCUCUGGUUCAGAGCUGCUGCAGGACAAUCCUUUCCUGAAAUCAUUUACACUCAUCAGAACAGCAGCAGCCGUCAGUGUGAGAUCAGCUCUUCUACAAGCUGCUCUCUGUAUGAGUUCUCUAAGAACAUCCUCGACCAGCACCACACUGGAACUUACUACUGCGCUGUGGCUGCUUGUGGGAAGAUCAUUGUUGGGAAUGGAACAUCCGUAGAACUGAAGAAAGCUCAGGAGGGGGCUGUGAGUGAGCGGACCACCAGACAGGAGCAGAACACUGAGAACCUGCAUUACGCUGCCAUCCACAUCAAAGAGAAGAAAGCCAAAGGUGGGAGAGUGAAGAGAGAACAGCCUGAAGACGUUAUUUACUCUCACGUGAGAAGCUCCAAAGCUGCUGCUCAGCGCUCACAUCGGUAG